GGUUAAGCGACUAAGCGUACACGGUGGAUGCCCUGGCAGUCAGAGGCGAUGAAGGGCGUGCUAAUCUGCGAUAAGCGCCGGUAAGGUGAUAUGAACCGUUAUAACCGGCGAUACCCGAAUGGGGAAACCCAGUGUGACUCGUCACACUAUCAUUAACUGAAUCCAUAGGUUAAUGAGGCGAACCGGGGGAACUGAAACAUCUAAGUACCCCGAGGAAAAGAAAUCAACCGAGAUUCCCCCAGUAGCGGCGAGCGAACGGGGAGGAGCCCAGAGCCUGAAUCAGCAUGUGUGUUAGUGGAAGCGUCUGGAAAGGCGCGCGAUACAGGGUGACAGCCCCGUACACAAAAGCGCAUGUGCUGUGAGCUCGAUGAGUAGGGCGGGACACGUGGUAUCCUGUCUGAAUAUGGGGGGACCAUCCUCCAAGGCUAAAUACUCCUGACUGACCGAUAGUGAACCAGUACCGUGAGGGAAAGGCGAAAAGAACCCCGGCGAGGGGAGUGAAAAAGAACCUGAAACCGUGUACGUACA
rnacentral:rRNA from 1 species